rnacentral:lncRNA from 1 species
CAUUGUCCCAAGGGGGUCCACAUUUUUGUGAAUUUAUGAUCCAAGCACAAUUCCAUAAGAAAAAGUGAUAAAAAGGAAACAGAGUAAAAGGGGGUGGGAACGUGGGAGAAUAGGGUGAGAACACGGUCUUGAAACAGAGGAGAAAACCUAGCGCCGCAGAUCUUCCUUACAAAAAAUCACGCGCAAACACUCUGAGAGGAGAUAGCCAAAAUCCCUAAAUCAACAGUCACCUUCAACAGACCACCAAAAAAUCGCUGAUCUCCCUCUCUCUCUCACUCACAACCCUUUAUCACCACAACAACCAGCUUCUUCUUCCAUCUCCGACUCUCAGCCCCGACAAACUCAUACCAAAACCAAAAAAAAAAGAAAAACGGAAAGAAAUCUAGACAAAAAUUUUGGGAGAAAGAGAUUAGGAUUCGUCUUUAGUUUCAUUUGACUUUUCCUUUUAUUCUCUUCUCAAUUCCAGGGAAAGAUACUAAUAAAAAUUUUAAAUUUUUUUGGUUCUCAAUUUUGCUUCAAAAAUCUGAAAAUUCAAAAAAAAAUGGAAAAGAAUUCCGUUUCUUCCUCUGGAUUUUCGUUUGAAAUGGAAGGAAGCUGAGGUGAGUGUUCAAAGCUUUGGAGUUGUCGUUCGUGGUUUAGGAGCGCAGUUUCGGGAGUGAAUCAGUCUCUGUUCUCGCCGGAUUUCGGACUCCGUGUUUGUAGCUAUUUUCUUCAUUCUGCUCAUAUAUUCAAGGGGUUUUAUUCUAACAGGUUCAUCUCAGACUUUCUCUUCUCGUGGUUUUCUCUGUUUGCUAUGUAUUAAGCUUGAAAAGUGCCAUUUGAGAAUGGAUGGAGUUUUGUGCUUGUUUGGUCGAUAUCUUCUAUUAAAUUGCUUUUAAUUGAUUGUUUUGAUCUUGAAUGGAUUUUGUGCUCAAGAGGAACAAAAUACUUUGUUAGUAGUUAACAUCUAUUUUGUUAAAAUAGUCAUAUAAUUUGUUUCACUAUUUAGUUAUUCUCCAGUAAGGUUCUUGAAUUCAAACUUUUGGUGUUGUAGAAUUGAAGUGGCCCUCUUGUUAACUAUAUCUAGGAUAAAAAGUGUCUUUCUAUGGGUUUCACUUCAUUUUAAUUAGCGAUUUGGUCCGAAAUCUAUCUGUUCUUUUGAUUAGAAAUAAUGUCACGAUUCAUGUUAUUUAUGUUGAGGGUUUUUAACUAUGAAUAGUUCUAGUUGGAAUGGGAAAGUAAAGUUAUUUAUGAGGAUGGCACAUUAAUUGGUUUGAAAAUUUCACUUCGUGUCAAUUUUGAAGAUGCCAUUUUGGAAGAUCAAGAUGAAGUCCUCGAAGAGAUGGUGCUUGAAGAUACUGUCGCCGAGGAUGCACCCCGAGAUUAGAUUAGACUUUUGGCUUUUAUUAUAUAUGUACUUUUUUGCUUCACUGUUUCUGUUUAAGGACCCCUCAUGGGCUUUUGUAAUCAUAUGUAAGGAUCCCUCGUGGGCUUUUGUAAUUACGAUUUAUUAAUACAAGGAUAUUUCUUCGAUUUGUCUCUGAUUUAUAUUGAAUUCCCUCUUUAUUUACGUUUGUGAAAAUUCUAAAUGCAUGACUGUACCGAUUGAUACGAAUAUCGAGCCCGGGUGUAAGUAUUUCUUUUGGCUAUUGAUUGAUUAACACGA